rnacentral:rRNA from 1 species
CGAUGCAUUAGCUAGUUGGUAAGGUAACGGGCUUACCAAGGCGAUGAUGCAUAGCCCGAGUUGAGAGACUGAUCGGCACAUUGGGGACUGAGACACGGGCCCAAACUCCUACGGGAGGCAGCAGUAGGGAAUCUUCCACAAUGGACGAAAGUCUGAUGGAGCAAACGCCGCGUGAGUGAAGAAGGUUUUCGGUAUCGUAAAGACUCUGUUGUUGGUGAAGAAGGAUAGAGGUAGUAACUGGCCCUUUAUUUGACGGUAAUCAACAGAAAGUCACGGGCUAACUACGUGCCAGCAGCCGCGGUAAAU